UCAUCGCACUCGAUAGGAAAAACGAGUUCAUCUCGGUUAAAAUCCUCUCCCUUGGUGGAAAACUAAACUAAAAUACGACAAAUUGACAGAUCUGGCCCGCAAAUAUUGGAG